rnacentral:rRNA from 1 species
AGUGAACGCUGGCGGUAGGCCUAACACAUGCAAGUCGAACGGCAGCACAGUAAGAGCUUGCUCUUACGGGUGGCGAGUGGCGGACGGGUGAGGAAUACAUCGGAAUCUACUUUUUCGUGGGGGAUAACGUAGGGAAACUUACGCUAAUACCGCAUACGACCUACGGGUGAAAGCAGGGGAUCUUCGGACCUUGCGCGAUUGAAUGAGCCGAUGUCGGAUUAGCUAGUUGGCGGGGUAAAGGCCCACCAAGGCGCCGAUCCGUAGCUGGUCUGAGAGGAUGAUCAGCCACACUGGAACUUAGACACGGUCCAGACUCCUACGGGAGGCAGCAGUGGGGAAUAUUGGACAAUGGGCGCAAGCCUGAUCCAGCCAUACCGCGUGGGUGAAGAAGGCCUUCGGGUUGUAAAGCCCUUUUGUUGGGAAAGAAAAGCAGCAGGUUAAUACCCCGCUGUUCUGACGGUACCCAAAGAAUAAGCACCGGCUAACUUCGUG